GCCAAAUACUGAGACAUGCACCUGUAGUCCCAGCUACUGGAGAGGCUGAGGCAAGAGAAUCACUUGAGCCCAGAAGUUCUGGGCUGCAGUGAGUAAUGCCAAUCAGAUACCCACCCUAAGUUAGGCACCAAUAUGGUGACCUCCCAGGAGCAGGGGACCACCAGGUUGCCUAAGGAGAGGUGAACGGGUCAUGAUGGAAACUUAGCAGAUCAAAACUCCUGCGUUGAUUAAUAGUAGGAUCAUGACUAUGAAUAGUCACAACACUUUUCAACCUUAGCUACAUAGUGAGACUGGGUCGCU
rnacentral:SRP_RNA from 1 species